AAAGUCGUAACAAGGUUUCCGUAGGUGAACCUGCGGAAGGAUCAUUACAGAAUGCACAUCUCUCUACCUUCUUGUAGCAAGGUGGGGACCAAUACAAUAGUAUCUGAUGCCAUGGUGGGGCAUGAUCUCACCGUGGGGGCUGUUGUGUCUGCCUGCGUCAACCAUAGGAUGGUAGCCCUUUCAGCGCGUGAAUGUCGGUUAUCCGGCAGUGCGCACCUUUGGUCUUCGCCCUGCUACGCCGUUCUAUUUUACAAAUCUGUCGCAUGUUGGUGGCAUCCCAUACAAAUAUAUAUAUAUAUAACUUUCAACAACGGAUCUCUUGGCUCUC
rnacentral:misc_RNA from 1 species